rnacentral:tRNA from 1 species
GGGGCUAUGGCGCAAUUGGUAGCGCACCUGCUUUGCAGGCAGGGGUUAGGAGCAUUUCCCAAGACCCU